UUGAUAAAUGAAAAUCAUUUCGCAAUAGUUAAUUUAUAUAAAAAAAUACAGAACGUUGGCAAAAAUAAUUCGUAUACACAGAACUCUGCAACUGUAAAGCUAAACGCUCUCUGCUUUUCGCACUCCAUCAACGAUGGCAAGCCUCUUCAGCUACCGUGACUCGUGCCCUUCUGUGAAGAACAUUCUUCUUCUGGACUCUGAAGGAAAGCGUGUGGCCGUCAAGUACUUCUCAGAUGAUUGGCCAACAAAUGGUGCAAAGUUGGCUUUUGAAAAAUCUGUGUUCACUAAGACUCUGAAGACAAAUGCUCGGAUAGAAGCGGAGAUAAUGAUGUUUGAGAGCAACGUUGUUAUAUAUAAGUUCGUGCAGGACCUUCACUUUUUUGUGACUGGAGGUGACGAUGAAAAUGAACUGAUUUUAGCCACAGUUCUCCAGGGAUUUUUUGAUGCAGUUGCCCUUCUCUUGAGGAACAACGUUGACAAACGUGAGGCACUAGAGAAUCUGGAUCUUAUACUUUUAUGUUUCGAUGAGAUUGUUGAUGGAGGGUAUGCUAUGCUUCUUAAAUUCUCUCACUCUACAUCUAUGCUUCUAUAUAUCUGCAAAGUUGGUCAGUCUUUUAAUCAUGAGUACGGCAAAGUGACAGUAGAUCGUCUGUGUGCGUGCAUGUGGGUGUAUGCAUCUAUAUAUCUGCAACCUUUGCUACAGUCUUUUAAUUGUGGUACACUUCAUUCUAAAUAAUAACAAUCACUAGUCCAUGUCCAUAAACUGUACCUGAUAUUCUUCUCUCUUUGUGGAGCAUUUUGUUCAGAAACACCCCAAGACGUUCAAAAUGGGUGCUGCUUGGUUCAUCCUCAAUCGUAUUUCAGUCAAUUAAGUGUUUUGAUUGUAUAUUUAUGCCGUUAAUUGAUAUGGCAGGAUGAUUCUCGAAACAGAUCCAAGCAUUAUUGCAGGAAAGGUGGCAACUCAUACCAUGGAUGCCGAUGCACCGUUGUCUGAGCAGACCAUAACACAAGCAUGGGCAACAGCACGGGAGCAUCUAACCAGAACCCUUCUCAAAUGAUGUGUUUUUGCGCGCAGA